rnacentral:rRNA from 1 species
UUAAGCGACUAAGCGUACACGGUGGAUGCCCUGGCAGUCAGAGGCGAUGAAGGACGUGCUAAUCUGCGAUAAGCGUCGGUAAGGUGAUAUGAACCGUUAUAACCGGCGAUUUCCGAAUGGGGAAACCCAGUGUGAUUCGUCACACUAUCAUUAACUGAAUCCAUAGGUUAAUGAGGCGAACCGGGGGAACUGAAACAUCUAAGUACCCCGAGGAAAAGAAAUCAACCGAGAUUCCCCCAGUAGCGGCGAGCGAACGGGGAGGAGCCCAGAGCCUGAAUCAGUGUGUGUGUUAGUGGAAGCGUCUGGAAAGGCGCGCGAUACAGGGUGACAGCCCCGUACACAAAAAUGCACAUGCUGUGAGCUCGAUGAGUAGGGCGGGACACGUGGUAUCCUGUCUGAAUAUGGGGGGACCAUCCUCCAAGGCUAAAUACUCCUGACUGACCGAUAGUGAACCAGUACCGUGAGGGAAAGGCGAAAAGAACCCCGGCGAGGGGAGUGAAAAAGAACCUGAAACCGUGUACGUACAAGCAGUGGGAGCACAGAGCAAUCUGUGUGACUGCGUACCUUUUGUAUAAUGGGUCAGCGACUUAUAUUCUGUAGCAAGGUUAACCGAAUAGGGGAGCCGAAGGGAAACCGAGUCUUAACUGGGCGUUAAGUUGCAGGGUAUAGACCCGAAACCCGGUGAUCUAGCCAUGGGCAGGUUGAAGGUUGGGUAACACUAACUGGAGGACCGAACCGACUAAUGUUGAAAAAUUAGCGGAUGACUUGUGGCUGGGGGUGAAAGGCCAAUCAAACCGGGAGAUAGCUGGUUCUCCCCGAAAGCUAUUUAGGUAGCGCCUCGUGAAUUCAUCUCCGGGGGUAGAGCACUGUUUCGGCAAGGGGGUCAUCCCGACUUACCAACCCGAUGCAAACUGCGAAUACCGGAGAAUGUUAUCACGGGAGACACACGGCGGGUGCUAACGUCCGUCGUGAAGAGGGAAACAACCCAGACCGCCAGCUAAGGUCCCAAAGUCAUGGUUAAGUGGGAAACGAUGUGGGAAGGCCCAGACAGCCAGGAUGUUGGCUUAGAAGCAGCCAUCAUUUAAAGAAAGCGUAAUAGCUCACUGGUCGAGUCGGCCUGCGCGGAAGAUGUAACGGGGCUAAACCAUGCACCGAAGCUGCGGCAGCGACACUGUGUGUUGUUGGGUAGGGGAGCGUUCUGUAAGCCUGUGAAGGUGUGCUGUGAGGCAUGCUGGAGGUAUCAGAAGUGCGAAUGCUGACAUAAGUAACGAUAAAGCGGGUGAAAAGCCCGCUCGCCGGAAGACCAAGGGUUCCUGUCCAACGUUAAUCGGGGCAGGGUGAGUCGACCCCUAAGGCGAGGCCGAAAGGCGUAGUCGAUGGGAAACAGGUUAAUAUUCCUGUACUUGGUGUUACUGCGAAGGGGGGACGAGAAGGCUAUGUUGGCCGGGCGACGGUUGUCCCGGUUUAAGCGUGUAGGCUGGUUUUCCAGGCAAAUCCGGAAAAUCAAGGCUGAGGCGUGAUGACGAGGCACUACGGUGCUGAAGCAACAAAUGCCCUGCUUCCAGGAAAAGCCUCUAAGCAUCAGGUAACAUCAAAUCGUACCCCAAACCGACACAGGUGGUCAGGUAGAGAAUACCAAGGCGCUUGAGAGAACUCGGGUGAAGGAACUAGGCAAAAUGGUGCCGUAACUUCGGGAGAAGGCACGCUGAUAUGUAGGUGAAGUCCCUCGCGGAUGGAGCUGAAAUCAGUCGAAGAUACCAGCUGGCUGCAACUGUUUAUUAAAAACACAGCACUGUGCAAACACGAAAGUGGACGUAUACGGUGUGACGCCUGCCCGGUGCCGGAAGGUUAAUUGAUGGGGUCAGCGCAAGCGAAGCCCUUGAUCGAAGCCCCGGUAAACGGCGGCCGUAACUAUAACGGUCCUAAGGUAGCGAAAUUCCUUGUCGGGUAAGUUCCGACCUGCACGAAUGGCGUAAUGAUGGCCAGGCUGUCUCCACCCGAGACUCAGUGAAAUUGAACUCGCUGUGAAGAUGCAGUGUACCCGCGGCAAGACGGAAAGACCCCGUGAACCUUUACUAUAGCUUGACACUGAACAUUGAGCCUUGAUGUGUAGGAUAGGUGGGAGGCUUUGAAGUGUGGACGCCAGUCUGCAUGGAGCCGACCUUGAAAUACCACCCUUUAAUGUUUGAUGUUCUAACGUGGACCCGUGAUCCGGGUUGCGGACAGUGUCUGGUGGGUAGUUUGACUGGGGCGGUCUCCUCCUAAAGAGUAACGGAGGAGCACGAAGGUUGGCUAAUCCUGGUCGGACAUCAGGAGGUUAGUGCAAUGGCAUAAGCCAGCUUGACUGCGAGCGUGACGGCGCGAGCAGGUGCGAAAGCAGGUCAUAGUGAUCCGGUGGUUCUGAAUGGAAGGGCCAUCGCUCAACGGAUAAAAGGUACUCCGGGGAUAACAGGCUGAUACCGCCCAAGAGUUCAUAUCGACGGCGGUGUUUGGCACCUCGAUGUCGGCUCAUCACAUCCUGGGGCUGAAGUAGGUCCCAAGGGUAUGGCUGUUCGCCAUUUAAAGUGGUACGCGAGCUGGGUUUAGAACGUCGUGAGACAGUUCGGUCCCUAUCUGCCGUGGGCGCUGGAGAACUGAGGGGGGCUGCUCCUAGUACGAGAGGACCGGAGUGGACGCAUCACUGGUGUUCGGGUUGUCAUGCCAAUGGCACUGCCCGGUAGCUAAAUGCGGAAGAGAUAAGUGCUGAAAGCAUCUAAGCACGAAACUUGCCCCGAGAUGAGUUCUCCCUGACCCUUUAAGGGUCCUGAAGGAACGUUGAAGACGACGACGUUGAUAGGCCGGGUGUGUAAGCGCAGCGAUGCGUUGAGCUAACCGGUACUAAUGAACCGUGAGGCUUAACCUU